rnacentral:rRNA from 1 species
GACGAACGCUGGCGGCGUGCUUAACACAUGCCAGUCGAACGGAAAGGCCCUGCUUUUGUGGGGUGCUCGAGUGGCGAACGGGUGAGUAACACGUGAGUAACCUGCCCUUGACUUUGGGAUAACUUCAGGAAACUGGGGCUAAUACCGGAUAGGAGCUCCUGCUGCAUGGUGGGGGUUGGAAAGUUUCGGCGGCUGGGGAUGGACUCGCGGCUUAUCAGCUUGUUGGUGGGGUAGUGGCUUACCAAGGCUUUGACGGGUAGCCGGCCUGAGAGGGUGACCGGCCACAUUGGGACUGAGAUACGGCCCAGACUCCUACGGGAGGCAGCAGUGGGGAAUAUUGCACAAUGGGCGGAAGCCUGAUGCAGCAACGCCGCGUGCGGGAUGACGGCCUUCGGGUUGUAAACCGCUUUCGCCUGUGACGAAGCGUGAGUGACGGUAAUGUGUAAAGAAGCACCGGCUAACUACGUG